rnacentral:rRNA from 1 species
UACGUAGGUGGCGAGCGUUGUCCGGAUUUAUUGGGCGUAAAGGGCGCGCAGGUGGUGCGGUAAGGCUGCCGUGAAAUCUCCCGGCUCAACUGGGAGGGUGCGGUGGCGACUGCCGGACUGGAGGCACUCAGAGGCCGGUGGAAUUCCCGGUGUAGUGGUGAAAUGCGUAGAGAUCGGCAGGAAGACCAAGGGGGAAGCCAGGCACCUGGGCCCGUACUGACACUCAUGGACGACCGCGUGGGGAGCGAACCGG